GUGGGAGUGCCAUAUGGGCACGACCGCGUACUUUUAGUAGAACGGUCCGGCGAGUUACGCUUACUGGCAAGGUUAAGACCUUAAGGGACGGAGCCGUAGGGAAACCAAGUCUUAACAGGGCCAAAGUCAGUAGGAGUAUACCCGAAACCGGGUGAUCUACCCAUGUCCAGGCUGAAGCUGCCGUAAGAGGCAGUGGAGGGCCGAACCCACAUCCGUUGAAAAGGGUGGGGAUGAGGUGUGGGUAGGGGAGAAAUUCCAAUCGAACCCGGAGAUAGCUGGUUCUCCUCGAAAUAGCUUUAGGGCUAGCCUCGGUAUCGAGUCUUGCGGAGGUAGAGCACUGAAUUUCCUAGGGGGCGUCAAAGCCUACCGAAGAAUAUCAAACUCCGAAUGCCGCUAAGAUAUGACCGGGAGUCAGACUGCACGAGAUAAGUUGGGCAGUCAAAAGGGAAAGAGCCCAGACCUUCAGUUAAGGUCCCAAAGUGUGCGUUAAGUGGAAAAGGAUGUGGGAUCUCCAAGACAACCAGGACGUUGGCUCAGAAGCAGCCAUACAUUCAAAGAGUGCGUAAUAGCUCACUGGUCGAGAGGUCCUGCGCCGAAAAUGUCCGGGGCUGAAACGCACCACCGAAACUAAGGAACCGAAAGGUUGGUAGAGGAGCAUUGCAUACGGGACGAAGCAGUACCGAAAGGAGCUGUGGACUGUAUGGAAGAGAGAAUGCCGGAAUGAGUAGCGAGAACAAGGUGGGAAUCCUUGUGGCCGAAUAUCCAAGGUUUCCAGGGUAAAGCUGAUCUGCCCUGGGUGAGUCGGGGCCUAAGGCGAGGACGAGAGUCGUAGCCGAUGGACAACAGGUGGAGAUUCCUGUACUGCGGUAUGACAGAACUGUGGGGACACGUAAGGAAAGCGGAAGCCGGGAAUGGAAAGCCCGGUGCAAGCAGGGUACCAGUGCGGAAGGCAAAUCCGCCGCACAAUGGGAAGCUGUGAAGCGGAGCGAAAUAAAGUAGCGAAGUCCGUGAGCCAUGCGUCAAGAAAAGCCGCUAUUGUUUGUACCGUACCCGUACCGUAAACCGACACAGGUGGAUGAGGAGAGAAUCCUAAGGCCGGCGGAAGAAGCAUUGUCAAGGAACUCGGCAAAAUGGCCCCGUAACUUAGGGAUAAGGGGUGCCUGGGAAACCAGGCCGCAGAGAAUAGGCUCAAGCAACUGUUUAGCAAAAACACAGGUCUAUGCGAAACCGAAAGGUGAGGUAUAUGGGCUGACGCCUGCCCGGUGCUGGAAGGUUAAGAGGAGAGGUUAGCGCAAGCGAAGCUUUGAAUUUAAGCCCCAGUAAACGGCGGCCGUAACUAUAACGGUCCUAAGGUAGCGAAAUUCCUUGUCGGGUAAGUUCCGACCCGCACGAAAGGCGUAAUGAUUUGAGCGCUGUCUCGACAAUGCAUCCGGUGAAAUUGAAGUACCAG
rnacentral:rRNA from 1 species